UACAGAGGGUGCAAGCGUUGUUCGGAAUUAUUGGGCGUAAAGCGCGUGUAGGCGGCUUUGCAAGUCGUGUGUGAAAGCCCUCAGCUCAACUGAGGAAGUGCGCCCGAAACUGCAGAGCUUGAGUGCCGGAGAGGGUGGCGGAAUUCCCCAAGUAGAGGUGAAAUUCGUAGAUAUGGGGAGGAACACCGGUGGCGAAGGCGGCCAUCUGGAUGGUGACUGACGCUGAGACGCGAAAGCGUGGG
rnacentral:rRNA from 1 species